rnacentral:rRNA from 1 species
UACGGGGGGAGCAAGCGUUGUUCGGAUUUACUGGGCGUAAAGGGCGCGUAGGCGGUCACCGCAAGUCGACUGUGAAAUCUCCGGGCUUAACCCGGAAAGGUCAGCCGAUACUGCGGGGCUAGAGUGCAGAAGGGGCAACUGGAAUUCUCGGUGUAGCGGUGAAAUGCGUAGAUAUCGAGAGGAACACCUGCGGCGAAGGCGGGUUGCUGGGCUGACACUGACGCUGAUGUGCGAAAGCUAGGGGAGCGAACGGG